rnacentral:rRNA from 1 species
GAUGAACGCUGGCGGCGUGCCUAAUACAUGCAAGUCGAGCGAACGGACGAGAAGCUUGCUUCUCUGAUGUUAGCGGCGGACGGGUGAGUAACACGUGGAUAACCUACCUAUAAGACUGGGAUAACUUCGGGAAACCGGAGCUAAUACCGGAUAAUAUUUUGAACCGCAUGGUUCAAAAGUGAAAGACGGUCUUGCUGUCACUUAUAGAUGGAUCCGCGCUGCAUUAGCUAGUUGGUAAGGUAACGGCUUACCAAGGCAACGAUGCAUAGCCGACCUGAGAGGGUGAUCGGCCACACUGGAACUGAGACACGGUCCAGACUCCUAAGGGAGGCAGCAGUAGGGAAUCUUCCGCAAUGGGCGAAAGCCUGACGGAGCAACGCCGCGGGAGUGAUGAAGGUCUUCGGAUCGUAAAACUCUGUUAUUAGGGAAGAACAUAUGUGUAAGUAACUGUGCACAUCUUGACGGUACCUAAUCAGAAAGCCACGGCUAACUACGUG